GCCGAGCUCAGUUGCGUGAGCUUGUAACCUGAGCGGGGGCAUUAAGGUGAUGUGGAUGCUGUUAUAGUGCUGCGGGCCUGGUCUUGAUAACGGUCCGCUGCACUCCUAGGCCACUUGUUUUUCUUACCGAUAAUACGGCAACAACUCCAUUUCAAAAUAGUGAAGUUUUAAGGUUUGUCCUAAGUCAAAACUAGUUUAAGUUUAACGGUGAAAGUUGGAUCUAUGCGAAAGUUGGGUCUCACGGUCCAUAAUGUGGUAGGCAUAGCGUGAGGCUGGCUUCACAGAGCAGCGACAACUGCCCGCUUCCAACGGUGGAAGGAUAACGGUCCGCUGCACUCCUAGGCCACUUGGGCCUCGCAGCCUACUCCAACGAACCAUCAUUUUU
rnacentral:SRP_RNA from 1 species